rnacentral:lncRNA from 13 species
GAGGUGGGGAGGCGGGAAAGCAGCUCGAGCCUCGCCCACCGCCCUGCCCCCAGCCCCGCCACUCCCAGGCUCCUCGGGACUCGGAGGGUCCUCCUGGGAGUCUCGGAGGGGACCGGCUGUGCAGGUAGGCGGCUGGGGAGGUGGGCAAAGUUGGUUCCUCUUUCCGAGGAGGGGCGAGGCUCGGUGGGGACGGAUCUCCGGAGCGCCGGGUUUUGUUUGUUCAGUGGGUGUGUGCGGUCCUCCGCGGGCAGCGGGAAACCGGGCUGGGGAUGUAAACAAGAUCGGCGUCGGAAGAGAGGGGAGCUUCUGGGGGAGGCAGGCUCUGGCGCUGGGGGUGACGCUGGGGGCUGGGAAUUGCUCUUGCUGCUGCCUCCAGCUUGGGGCCAGGGUUUUCGGGAGAAGGGGAAAGGGCUGCGGCCACCCUUUAUCCGUGAGUUUUCCCUUUGUUACUUGGAAGCUGUGGACACUUGGUGGAGCGUGGGGAAUUGCGGACGAGGGCGUGUGGCUGGAUGUGAGUGUGGACACAUGAGCGACACAAAAUGGAACUUGCUGGUUUGGUGCUUCGGGAAGGUGGGGCUGGGCAGUGGGCACAGGAUGGGGGCGCAGGGAAAGAAGGAUUCUAGUGCUCGGGGAUUCAGGAGACUGCAUCAUUUCCCCUCUCCUUCUCGUCUAUCCAUCCAAUCCUGUUUCCUUUCCUGGGGGUCCUGGGGGGGGGGCCCAUUGCCCCUUUCCCCAGCAGAGCUGGCCCUGGCAGAGCCUCCCCUAUUGUGUCUCCCGGGCUUCCGUGGAGAGUUGGGUGUGCAGCCUGGGGCUCCCAGCUCUGGCUUCUGGCUCUUGCAAGUGGUGGAGGAGGCACCCCAGGGUGGGAGCUGGGAGCAGCCUCGCUGGAAACAUGGGUCUGCCCCGUCCCCUACUGCAAGCCUGCACGCUCGGGUAGCUACUGGGGCUUCUUCCCCAUCAGUGUGGCCUCUGCCUUCACUUCCUUUGUCUCCGUGGCUUCGUGCUCUCUGGCUGGGCUGGGAUUUCCAGCUUUGA